rnacentral:lncRNA from 1 species
UAAUAUAAGAGACUUAACAGGCCCAAUUUUUAUACGGCCUUAUCAAUGUUUCAUACUUGGGCUUUUAUUUAAGUACUCACCUAGUUUUUCCUUCUACAUACAGUACCUUCAAAAUACAAGAUUUUCAUUCCUUCACACAUUAGAGCAUGAUUAUCGCCAACUCCCCCUAAUGAGUUUCUUAAAAAUAUUUUAAUAAUAAAUUUGGGCUAGAAAGUUUAUUAAGAAACCCUAUAUAUUGUGAGGUCCAUUGGUAGAGUUUAUCACGACCACUGUUUACCAAAAUCGAUCGCAAUUGAAAUAGAGAGAAGAUAGAGAGAUCUGGGAAACAGAACACUGAGAAACGUAUUUCUUCAGCAGAGACCGAUCUCGUUUGCCUUCUCCUCCACCUCUUGGAGGAUAAAUCUCACCAUUUUCUGGAUCUACCUCAACACAUCUCCGUCUUUCAGCUUUACCGGAAAUCUGCAAUCGCCGUUUGAUCAAAGGUUGCAGAGAUUUGGGGAAAUCCAGAAUUCUGUGGCGCAGGAAAUUGGAGAGAGAAACGUAGAGGUAAAAACAAUUGUGUCAAAGAAAAUUGAAGUCCAAGGAUUUUUUUUCUGAGGAAGAAAAAGAAAUGGUCGAGAUAAAAAAAAAUUAUCCAAGAAAAUUUGGUCGAUGCUGCUUGAACCAAUGGGAGCCUGCCACAACAUCUCUUAGAAUCGAUUCUUAAUGUACCCAAAUAAGGAUCAAUCCUUGUGUUUUAACCAUUUUUUAAAUUAAAAAAAAAACCCAUUAAAGUUUAAAAAAUCUAACAAGAAACUAGCAAUAAAGAUGGUCUUAGAGCAUGUUUAUCAAAGAAACAUUAAUUGGUUUCUUCUUUAUUAUUAUAUUAGUAAAAUUGGAAUAAGAAACUAAGAAGAAACUCAUGUUUUUUUUAGGUACAUUGGAGAAACUGUGAUGAAUUUCUUAAAAAAAUUUAAUUAAAAAAAGAUUGAUUAUUGAAAAUGAAAUUGUUAAUAUUACAUUUAUUAUAAUUUGAAAACAUUACAAACUUAACAGAAUAUUGAAACAACACAAUUUUAACAAUUAAACUUAAUUACGCACUAAGUGACCAAACUUUUGCCAUAUAUGAUCAACCAAAUCCUUACAUGACACUUAAUUAAAACAACAACAAACUUGACAUAGAGAACAUAGGAACUUGACUCAAACUCGACACAAAAUGGAAGCUAAAGUCAACAACAAACCCGAGUAAACACAAAGAAAAGUAGUUCAGAACAAUUCUUUAAUAAGCUUUCCUUCAUUAUUUCUUCGGACUCGGAUAAGGGCUCUUUCUUCGCAAGGAUAUUGUCAAGCAUUGACAUUCUCAGAAGUCUCUCCCUUGUGACCAUAUCUUUCUCCUUUAAUUGCAACAUUUCCUGAAACUUUGCCAUAGCAUUUGGAUCCACCAUGGGCCUCUUCCCUUUCGCCUUUGCGGCCUUAACACCAGGAGGCCUUUUCCCGGUUUCAACAUCAGCUGGGGACUGACCACCAUCUUCACACCUUGGUCUUUUAGAAAUGCCAUCUUUUUUUGAACUUGUUUGAUCACACCAUUUUUGAUCAUAACGAAGCUCCUUCCAAGCGUGUUCUAAUGUGAAUUUCUUCUUGUUGUCAUUGAAGUAAAUCUCGUGGGCCAUUUUGAGAAUAUCAUUCUCAUUUUGGCCACUUGACCUCUCUCUUGUUGCAGCAUCGUAGCAACCACUGAAUUUACAUACAGCUUCAUUGAUCUUCUGCCAACGUUGUUUGCAUUGAAUGGGCUCGCGGUUAACGGUUCCUGCUGGUUUUGGACUUCCAGCAAAGUAGAUUGAGAUUCUCGUCCAAAACGCCACUGACUUUUGCUCAUUUCCAACAACAGGAUCUUUGGAGGUGUUGAGCCACGAGCUGAUGAGGAGAAUAUCAUCACUCGGCGUCCAUUGCCUCCUUGCGUUUCUUUCCUUG